UUUAAUUGAAGAGUUUGAUCAUGGCUCAGAUUGAACGCUGGCGGCAGGCCUAACACAUGCAAGUUGAGCGGCAGCACAGAGGAACUUGUUCCUUGGGUGGCGAGCGGCGGACGGGUGAGUAAUGCCUGGGAAAUUGCCCGGUAGAGGGGGAU
rnacentral:rRNA from 1 species